rnacentral:misc_RNA from 1 species
GAAAUGCGAUAAGUAAUGUGAAUUGCAGAAUUCAGUGAAUCAUCGAAUCUUUGAACGCACCUUGCGCUCCUUGGUAUUCCUUGGAGCAUGCCUGUUUGAGUAACAUGAAAUCUUCAAAGUAAAUCUUUUGUUAACUCAAUUGGUUUCUACUUUGGUAUUGGAGGUCUUUGCAGCUUCACACCUGCUCCUCUUUGUUCAUUAGCUGGAUCUCAGUGUUAUGCUUGGUUCCACUCGGCGUGAUAAGUCAUCUAUCGCUGAGGACACUGUAAAAGGUGGCCAAGGUAAAUUCAGAUGAACCGCUUCUAAUAGUCCAUUGACUUGGACAAUACUUUUAUGAUCUGAUCUCAAAUCAGGUAGGACUACCCGCUGAACUUAAGC